GGCUACAGCCGUACCACCCUGAACGAGCCCCAUCUCAUCUGAUCUCAGAAGCUAAGCAGGGUCGGGCCUGGUUAGUACUUGGAUAGGAGAAACCAAAGACAAGCGUCUCAAGAGAAGCAAGCCUGCCAGCAU
rnacentral:rRNA from 1 species